GACGAACGCUGGCGGCGUGCUUAACACAUGCAAGUCGAACGAUGAAGCUAGAGCUUGCUCUGGUGAAUUAGUGGCGAACGGGUGAGUAACACGUGAGUAACCUGCCCCGAACUCUGGGAUAACUGCUGGAAACGGUAGCUAAUACUGGAUACGACCUACGAAGGCAUCUUCUGUAGGUGGAAAGAAUUUCGGUUCGGGAUGGACUCGCGGCCUAUCAGCUUGUUGGUGAGGUAAUGGCUCCCCAAGGCGACGACGGGUAGCCGGCCUGAGAGGGGGACCGGCCACACUGGGACUGAGACACGGCCCGGACUCCUACGGGAGGCAGCAGUGGGGAAUAUUGCACAAUGGGCGCAAGCCUGAUGCAGCAACGCCGCGUGAGGGAUGACGGCCUUCGGGUUGUAAACCUCUUUUAGUAGGGAAGAAGCGAAAGUGACGGUACCUGCAGAAAAAGCACCGGCUAACUACGUGCCAGCAGCCGCAGUAA
rnacentral:rRNA from 1 species